rnacentral:rRNA from 1 species
UACGUAGGUGACAAGCGUUGUCCGGAUUUACUGGGCGUAAAGAGCGCGCAGGCGGUCGUUCAAGUCGAGUGUGAAAGCCCCCGGCUCAACUGAGGAGGGUCAUUCGAUACUGAUCGACUCGAAGGCAGGAGAGGGUAGUGGAAUUCCCGGUGUAGUGGUGAAAUGCGUAGAUAUCGGGAGGAACACCAGUGGCGAAGGCGACUACCUGGCCUGUUCUUGACGCUGAGGCGCGAAAGCUAGGGGAGCAAACGGG